rnacentral:misc_RNA from 1 species
ACAUACCUCAGGCCAAAAUUCUUUUUUGGAUCCUGGAUCUAGGCUUAGCCGACCGACCCGCGACAGCGCAAAAAGGUCGGCCAGCCUGAAACACAUCCCGAUUGCGGAUCCUCUUCCAGGGAGUGGAAAAAAGAAAAGGCGUUGAUAGUUCGACCUUGGAGUCGAUCUUUUCGCCGAAGUAAAAAAUCCCUCCUGAUCUGCGUCGAUUAGCAGGACUAAAUUUUGUUCUUCUCA